AUGUGCCGUUCGUACACUGCGGCUCCGCCGCCAUCCACGCGCACGUCACGACUGCUCGGGACGUUUUGUUAGCC
rnacentral:sRNA from 1 species